rnacentral:lncRNA from 1 species
UUUCAGUCCGCCAGCUCCUGACAGCUCGAAUCAAAUGUCUGCCCAAACCUGGAUGGCCCAAGGAGCUGGCAUGGCUGAGGCACAGCUUGGAGCAGCUGGAGCGAUGCGGUGAGCAUCACAUCGAGGAUUCACCGGCCUGAUUUAUGAGGUACCCCUGACAGCCCGGUGACUGGGGGAAGCACGAGUCCAAGCUGACACCAGCUCCCCAGGAAAAAAAAAAAAAAAAAAACAAACAUCGCCGUGUCCUUGUCAGUGCCAGGCCCUCACCUGACCAUCCUCCUCCCUCCAUAUCACGAGGUUUUUACACAGGCUGGAGCCAAGCAGCCGGAGCAGAGAGGACAAAAAGGAUCCUCAGGCACCAGCCACCUGGAGCCGUGCUCCUAUUUUCUCCAUAAAAUUUGGAGAAAUCCCUCUGAACACAGUUUAAACCGAGAUGCUUGGUUAAUCCCCCUGCUAAAGCACCUCAGCGCAUGCCCUGGCUUAUUUUUUACCUUAGCUUUGUAUUUUCAGCUGCUCGGGUUUCACCUCAGUCACUUGAGGCUCUGUGUGAAGGUGCGUGAGGACGGCCAGGAGCAUCCAAAUGGAGGCCCCCAGACGCGAGCGUUUCUCCCUUAACCUUCUUGCACCAUCGGGAAUAAUAAUUCCUCGCAGGGCUGUUGCACAGCUUGAUUCAUUAAGGCUUAUGAAGUGCUUUUAGCUCCUGCACUGGAAGGCUCUGUGCGAGUUAUUUUGGACUGCUCAGGUGUUAGGAGCCGAGGCACUGCAGCAGGAAUACAAAUAAAUCAAGAAGCGAAGCUGCCCCCUUCCCGCAUGCAGCCCCUGCCCCCCACUGUUCUCCAUCACUGCUGGUGUCAAACAGUUAAUUUACAAGCCCAGCACUUUACAAAGCCCCUGGAGCACCAAUUGUCCCUUUCUCAUGCAACAUCAGCUCCUCAAAAAAGCCAGCUGAGUCUCCGGGGUCACCCCGCUCCUGCCCUUCCCAAGCCCCUAUCCAAAACCACCCGAAUAUUUAUUUCAAGCAAGCCCAGUCCAGCAUCACCCCUGUACAGCAUGAUGCUGGAAGUGCUGAAAUAACUCUGGAGGAAGGGGUGGACGCAGUCAGGGCUCUGAUCUGUGCCUUCUUGGGGAGGCAAUAUUCAAUCGGCAAAGGUGACCCAGAUACUCUAACGGGGCCACAGCCUGCCCACGAGCUGCUGCAGCAAGGCAGCAUCCCCAUGCCAGAGCCAGGCAUGGACAGAGCAGCUCUCAGGCCAGCAGGACAAACCGAGAGAGCACAGGGAAAAGAAGCAGGCUUGUGGCUUGGAAAGGUAAAGGCUCUGCAAGUCUCACAUGGCUUUUUUUUUUUCCCUCCCUCCCUCUGUCUCCCUCCCCUCCUCCAGUCUGUUGCACCGGAGCUGUCGGCCAUGCUGUUCCAGUUCAGGGGCUCCUGCAACAGAAAAGAUCAGCUGUUGGAGAACCCAUGGAAAGCCCUGGGGGAGAGCCAUGGCCGCAAGGUGGCUCGGAGUAAGGCGCAGCCGCG